GACGAACCGUGCGAACGUUAUUCGGAAUCACUGGGCUUAAAGCGCGUGUAGGCGGGCCGGCACGUCGGCUGCUGAAAUCCCCCGGCUCAACCGGGGAAGGGGCACCGAUACGACCGGCCUGGAGGGGGGUAGGGGGGACGGGAACUUCCGGUGGAGCGGUGAAAUGCGUUGAGAUCGGAAGGAACGCCCGCGGCGAAAGCGCGUCCCUGGACAACACCUGACACUGAGGCACGAAAGCUAGGGGAGCAAACAGG
rnacentral:rRNA from 1 species